AUUGAACGCUGGCGGCAUGCCUUACACAUGCAAGUCGCACGGUAACGGGUCCUUCGGGAUGCCGACGAGUGGCGAACGGGUGAGUAAUAUAUCGGAACGUGCCCAGUAGUGGGGGAUAACUGCUCGAAAGAGCAGCUAAUACCGCAUACGACCUGAGGGAGAAAGGGGGGGAUCGCAAGACCUCUCCCUAUUGGAGCGGCCGAUAUCAGAUUAGCUAGUUGGUGGGGUAAAGGCCUACCAAGGCAACGAUCUGUAGUUGGUCUGCGAGGACGACCAGCCACACGGGGACGGAGACAGGGCCCAGACUCCUACGGGAGGCAGCAGGGGGGAAUUUUGGAGAAUGGACGCAAGGCUGAUCCAGCCAUGCCGCGUGCGGGAAGAAGGCCUUCGGGGUGUAAACCGCUUUUGUCAGGGAAGAAACGCUCUGGGUUAAUGCCUCGGGGUAAUGACGGUACCUGAAGAAUAAGCACCGGCUAACUACGUGCCAGCCGCCGCCGUAAAAC
rnacentral:rRNA from 1 species